rnacentral:lncRNA from 1 species
AGCUGCAGUGGCGGGGAGUGGGGUGCGGAUCUUGUGUUUGCGCACGCAGUCGCCGGCCACCUCAGGCCGGAGCUAGAGAUACGGCUCGGGAUAGGAGGGCCCGGCGGCUCUGAGGCAGGUUCGCCUCGAGCCGCACGGCCCGGAGCAGCGGCUCCGCGGUGGUCCCCGGGGCUUGAGAGGGGUGCGGGCCUGGGAGCCCCUGAGGGCCUGAUUUACGGAACUCCCCCUCCUUCCUCCUUUCUGCCGUUCCCUGCUCUGUGGCGGAUGCGCAGGGAUCAGUAGGGACGGCAGCAGUAGGGCCACUCGGGCCUGCCCCGCUUCCCGCAUUGCCCGGUUUGGCGCGCCGCCUCCGGGCCUUGGCAAAGCCCCAGCGCCCGAUUGUCACUGACCAGUGCUUGGAAGUCCUUUACCGACUGCCCGUCAGCGUCCCGCGGAGAGGAUUUUGCGUCUCCAAAGACGCCCCUCUUCCGAAAACAGGCUCCUCUGUGUUCUCAGUCGGGUAUAUUUUUCUGUCUCCAAACUAGAUUGGCAGCCGUUUUUUGAGAGCAGGGUCUUGCUCUGUUGCCCAGACUGGAGUGCAGUGGCGCCAUCUCAGCUGACUGCAGAUUCAACCUUCUGAGCUCACGAAAUCCUCCCAUCUCAACCUCCUGAGUAGCUGGGACCACAGGCUGAGCACAGGGUUGCUCCAGGUGGGCCCAAAUGCUGAAGAGCCUCAUGUUAGAGUUUUUCACCUCUGCGAUGGAACUGUGGUGGACUCCAGUAUCAUCAUUCCAGGGAGGCAUAGCCGCACCAACUGUGUUCCCAGGUUUCACAUGGAGAAGGGUUUUAGAAAGUGCAGAUAGCCUUGAAACCAUUGGUUUCCUACCACUGUUUAUUUCAGCAUAACUUUUUUUGUGUGGAAUGCUAGCUCUGGAAGAGCAGAAAUAAAUACAGCUUAAGCUUUGAACCAUAAAAAAAAAAAAAAAAAA